rnacentral:lncRNA from 1 species
GGAGCAGCCCAAGAAAUGGCAAAAAUACAGAAGAAUUUUAAAAUAAAUAAAUAAAUAAAUAAAACAAUAUUUAUAGGUAGAUAAAUAAAAGGACUCCUAUUACAGUAGAAUGGAUAAUGAUUGGCAAAAGGAGAAGGAAUGCUGGUGCUAGGAAAAAAAAUCAUUUUAGAACUGUAACAGUAAAGGCUGGUUCAAGCAAGCUGUCAUCUAUAGAUCCUACAUAAAGAGAGUGAAAUUUUGAUGAAAAGCAGGAUAUUUCAUUUGUCUUAAAGUAUUUCCUCACAGAGUGUUUAUUAGCGGUAAAGGGAGGACAGGAACUACACAGUGGAGAAAUCAGACAAGGAAAGAGGUGGUCAAAAUUUGUAUCACGAAGAAAGAGCAGGUGGAUACCAUGCGCCUCCAGAUAAGCUGUGCUUUAGGUAAUAUUCCAUCUUGGAAGGCAAAGCAACUUGAAUCUUAUCAAGAGGAAACAUCAGGUAGACCAAAGAUAAGCAAUACACUGUUAAAAAAGAGAGGAAGAAAAGGAAUGAUUGUAUCUUUUCCAAUGCCAGUGUCAUAAAUGACGGAGAAGGGCUGAAGAACCAGUCUCGAUUAAAAGAUACGAAAGACAUGACAUUUAAAUGUAAAUAGGAUCACAGACUAAAUUCUGUGUAUUACAUCAAUCUGUGUAUUACAGAACUAGAAAAUGACCAACAGAUAAAAGUAACGUAAUCAUGUUAAAUCUACUGAGGUUUUUAGGUUUUCAUGUAAGAGCUUAGACUUAGUCUUGGGGAAAUCACACUUAGAUGUUUAGGACUAAAGGGCUAUGAUAUAUAUAUAAUUCUUAAACAGUCCAACAAAAAGAAUACACAUAUAUGUGCAUGUGUGGAUUUAAAAAUAUACACAGAAACAUUCAUUUGCAAAGAGAAUAAUAAAGUAUUUGGGGACAAAUGGUUAAUAAAAGGUGAAUCUGGAGAGAGGGGACAUGGAGGUUCUUACAUUAUUAUUGCAACUUUUCUGCUAGUUUGAAAUUAUUUCCCCCAAAAAUCAUUACAUUCGAAAUCCAGUACAUUAUUUUUCUCCCUAAAUUCUAUUUUUCUGUUAUAAUAUAGCUGAACGGAACCAGUGUCAACCAGUCAUCCAGCUAGAAACUUGGCGGUUAACCUAGACUCCCCAAAGAUUUCAACUCAUUUUCGUCCUUUCUUUCAACGCUCACAGCCAAAGGGACAAAUCCUAAGGGAAUGCCUUAUGUAUUUAUUUACUCUAUUUUCUCCAGUCGUACCAAAUGGGUUCAGAACCUAAUCGUUUGGCAUCUCUCACCAUCUAAGGACCACCCUUCCUGCAGCCUUGGCUCUAACCCUCUGCAUCCUCUGCUAUGGAGUGCCCAUCCCCAAAUGAAAUCUGAUCACAUCACUCUGUACUUCUCAACUGGCCCUGAAGAACAGGAGGAAAAAACAUACUGGAUGAACUCAAAAAUCCCAAUACUGGUAAACUAUAUUGCUUUGGAUCUUGAGACGCAAAUAAGCAAAAAAGUGUUAACCAAACCUAGAAGAGCUAGUCUAGCCUAACCGUAAACUUAGUCAUGGAGCAACAGCAAAAGCCUUCUUGGACCCAACUGUAAAGCUACCGCUCCUGAGCAAUAUAUUGAGUGCCUCUUGCACAAAUAACAUGGGAUGGGACCUUUUGAAAAAGAGGUCCUUAAAAGGGAGGAAUGGAAGGAAAAGUUAGGGAACACAUGGGAGGAAGGAGAGAGUACUGAAAAGUAAGGAGGAAAGAAGCAGAGAAGGGAAGAAAACCAAGCCUAUUCUCCAGGAUCUCUGGAUAAAACAGAGAUCUGUCUUGGAGUAAAAUGUCAGCCUUUUGAGAAUUAACCAGCCCUUGUAAUUGCUCCUAAUGGAACAAUCCCUUUAUUAAAUUCUAUGCUCUUUGGACAUUUUAUCAGAAGUUAUAAAUAAUACUUGAGAAAAGUAUUAUUUAUAAUCAAAGUAUAUUCUAUGAAUAUGGAAAAGUAUAGGCAAGCAUGGAAUCAUGUUUCUACUGCCUUCAUUCUGUAGACUCUCUUUCAUUUCUCAGUUCAAAGCAUCAAUAUAGGUUUUGUAUAUUAUAUAAAACUACAAGGCGUUCCCGUGGUGGCGCAGUGGAAACAAAUCCUGCUAGGAACUAUGAGGACAUGGGUUCAAUUCCUGACCUCGCUCAGUGGGUUAAGGAUCCGGCGUUGCUGUGAGCUGUGGUGUAGGGUCUGAGUCACAUCUGCGACCUACAUACACCACAGCUCAUGGCAACGCCGGAUCCUCAACCCACUGAGUGAGGCCAGGGAUCGAACCCGAAACCUCACGGUUCCUAGUGGAUUCGUUUCCACUGAGCCACAACGGAAACUCCAGAACUGAAAAUUUCUAUGACUCUGUUCUUUUAGGCAGUAAAAACAAAAUUAAGAUGGAAGAAAACAAACUAAACAGUAGUACUGA